rnacentral:rRNA from 1 species
UCCCUACGGGAGGCAGCAGUGGGGAAUAUUGCACAAUGGGGGGAACCCUGAUGCAGCGACGCCGCGUGGGUGAGGAAGUACUUCGGUAUGUAAAGCCCUGUCAGCAGGGAAGAAAAUGACAGUACCUGGACAAGAAGCCCCGGCUAACUACGUGCCAGCAGCCGCGGUAAUACGUAGGGGGCAAGCGUUAUCCGGAUUUACUGGGUGUAAAGGGAGCGCAGGCGGCGUGGCAAGUCAGAUGUGAAAACCCGGGGCCCAACCCCGGGAGUGCAUUUGAAACUGCCAUGCUGGAGUGCCGGAGAGGG